UGCAGUCGAGCGGACAGAAGGGAGCUUGCUCCCGGAUGUUAGCGGCGGACGGGUGAGUAACACGUGGGUAACCUGCCUGUAAGACUGGGAUAACUCCGGGAAACCGGAGCUAAUACCGGAUAGUUCCUUGAACCGCAUGGUUCAAGGAUGAAAGACGGUUUCGGCUGUCACUUACAGAUGGACCCGCGGCGCAUUAGCUAGUUGGUGAGGUAACGGCUCACCAAGGCGACGAUGCGUAGCCGACCUGAGAGGGUGAUCGGCCACACUGGGACUGAGACACGGCCCAGACUCCUACGGGAGGCAGCAGUAGGGAAUCUUCCGCAAUGGACGAAAGUCUGACGGAGCAACGCCGCGUGAGUGAUGAAGGUUUUCGGAUCGUAAAGCUCUGUUGUUAGGGAAGAACAAGUGCAAGAGUAACUGCUUGCACCUUGACGGUACCUAACCAGAAAGCCACGGCUAACUACGUGCCAGCAGCCGCGGUAAUACGUAGGUGGCAAGCGUUGUCCGGAAUUAUUGGGCGUAAAGGGCUCGCAGGCGGUUUCUUAAGUCUGAUGUGAAAGCCCCCGGCUCAACCGGGGAGGGUCAUUGGAAACUGGGAAACUUGAGUGCAGAAGAGGAGAGUGGAAUUCCACGUGUAGCGGUGAAAUGCGUAGAGAUGUGGAGGAACACCAGUGGCGAAGGCGACUCUCUGGUCUGUAACUGACGCUGAGGAGCGAAAGCGUGGGGAGCGAACAGGAUUAGAUACCCUGGUAGUCCACGCCGUAAACGAUGAGUGCUAAGUGUUAGGGGGUUUCCGCCCCUUAGUGCUGCAGCUAACGCAUUAAGCACUCCGCCUGGGGAGUACGGUCGCAAGACUGAAACUCAAAGGAAUUGACGGGGGCCCGCACAAGCGGGUGGAGCAUGUGGUUUAAUUCGAAGCAACGCGAAGAACCUUACCAGGUCUUGACAUCCUCUGACAACCCUAGAGAUAGGGCUUUCCCUUCGGGGACAGAGUGACAGGUGGUGCAUGGUUGUCGUCAGCUCGUGUCGUGAGAUGUUGGGUUAAGUCCCGCAACGAGCGCAACCCUUGAUCUUAGUUGCCAGCAUUUAGUUGGGCACUCUAAGGUGACUGCCGGUGACAAACCGGAGGAAGGUGGGGAUGACGUCAAAUCAUCAUGCCCCUUAUGACCUGGGCUACACACGUGCUACAAUGGACAGAACAAAGGGCUGCGAGACCGCAAGGUUUAGCCAAUCCCACAAAUCUGUUCUCAGUUCGGAUCGCAGUCUGCAACUCGACUGCGUGAAGCUGGAAUCGCUAGUAAUCGCGGAUCAGCAUGCCGCGGUGAAUACGUUCCCGGGCCUUGUACACACCGCCCGUCACACCACGAGAGUUUGCAACACCCGAAGUCGGUGAGGUAACCUUUAUGGAGCCAGCCGCCGAA
rnacentral:rRNA from 1 species